rnacentral:rRNA from 1 species
UUAAGUGAAUAAGGGCGCACGGUGGAUGCCUUGGCACUAGGAGCCGAUGAAGGACGGGACUAACACCGAUAUGCUUUGGGGAGCUGUACGUAAGCUAUGAUCCAGAGAUUUCCGAAUGGGGGAACCCAGCAUCUUUAAUAGGAUGUUACGAUUGUGUGAAUACAUAGCACAUUCGAGGUAGACGCAGAGAACUGAAACAUCUAAGUACCUGCAGGAAGAGAAAGAAAAUUCGAUUCCCUGAGUAGCGGCGAGCGAAACGGGAAAAGCCCAAACCAACAAGCUUGCUUGUUGGGGUUGUAGGACUCCAAUAUGGUCGUUCUUUCAGAUAGUCGAAUGACUUGGAAAAGUCAGUCAAAGAGGGUAAAAACCCCGUAGACGAAAUGUGGAAGACACCUAGGAGGAUCCUGAGUACGGCGGAACACGAGAAAUUCCGUCGGAAUCCGGGAGGACCAUCUCCCAAGGCUAAAUACUCCCUAGUGACCGAUAGUGAACCAGUACCGUGAGGGAAAGGUGAAAAGCACCCCGGAAGGGGAGUGAAAUAGAACCUGAAACCGUGUGCCUACAACAAGUCAAAGCCCGUUAAUGGGUGAUGGCGUGCCUUUUGUAGAAUGAACCGGCGAGUUACGAUUGCAUGCGAGGUUAAGUUGAAGAGACGGAGCCGCAGCGAAAGCGAGUCUGAAUAGGGCGUUUGAGUAUGUAGUCGUAGACCCGAAACCAUGUGAUCUACCCAUGUCCAGGUUGAAGGUGCGGUAAAACGCACUGGAGGACCGAACCCACGUACGUUGAAAAGUGCGGGGAUGAGGUGUGGGUAGCGGAGAAAUUCCAAACGAACUUGGAGAUAGCUGGUUCUCUCCGAAAUAGCUUUAGGGCUAGCCUCGGAAUUGAGAAUGAUGGAGGUAGAGCACUGUUUGGACUAGGGGCCCAUCUCGGGUUACCGAAUUCAGAUAAACUCCGAAUGCCAUUCAUUUAUAUCCGGGAGUCAGACUGUGAGUGAUAAGAUCCGUAGUCGAAAGGGAAACAGCCCAGACCACCAGCUAAGGUCCCAAAAUAUAUGUUAAGUGGAAAAGGAUGUGGGGUUGCACAGACAACUAGGAUGUUGGCUUAGAAGCAGCCACCAUUUAAAGAGUGCGUAAUAGCUCACUAGUCGAGUGACCCUGCGCCGAAAAUGUACCGGGGCUAAACAUAUUACCGAAGCUGUGGAGUACACCUUUAGGUGUAUUGGUAGGAGAGCGUUCUAAGGGCGUCGAAGGCAGAUCGUGAGGACUGCUGGAGCGCUUAGAAGUGAGAAUGCCGGUAUGAGUAGCGAAAGACAGGUGAGAAUCCUGUCCACCGAAUGACUAAGGUUUCCUGGGGAAGGCUCGUCCGCCCAGGGUUAGUCGGGACCUAAGCCGAGGCCGAUAGGCGUAGGCGAUGGAUAACAGGUUGAUAUUCCUGUACCCGUUGUUUUUGUUUGAGCAAUGGAGGGACGCAGGAGGCUAAGGAAUGCAGACGAUCGGAAAUGUCUGUCCAAGCAGUAAGUCUGAAGAGGAGUCAAAUGCUUCUUUUCUUAAGGACAAGCUGUGAUGGGGAGGGAAAUAAUAGUACCGAAGUUCCUGAUGUCACACUGCCGAGAAAAGCUUCUAGUGAGAAAACAGCGGCCCGUACCGCAAACCGACACAGGUAGUCGAGGAGAGAAUCCUAAGGUGAGCGAGAGAACUCUCGUUAAGGAACUCGGCAAAAUGACCCCGUAACUUCGGGAGAAGGGGUGCUGAUCAUACGAUCAGCCGCAGUGAAUAGGCCCAAGCGACUGUUUAUCAAAAACACAGGUCUCUGCAAAAUCGUAAGAUGAAGUAUAGGGGCUGACGCCUGCCCGGUGCUGGAAGGUUAAGAGGAGUGCUUAGCGCAAGCGAAGGUACGAAUUGAAGCCCCAGUAAACGGCGGCCGUAACUAUAACGGUCCUAAGGUAGCGAAAUUCCUUGUCGGGUAAGUU